UGCUUUACACAUGCAAGUCGAACGGCAGCACGGGAGCUUGCUCCUGGUGGCGAGUGGCGAACGGGUGAGUAAUGCAUCGGAACGUACCGUGUAAUGGGGGAUAACGCUUCGAAAGAGGUGCUAAUACCGCAUACGCCCUGAGGGGGAAAGCGGGGGAUCUUCGGACCUCGCGUUAUACGAGCGGCUGAUGCCGGAUUAGCUAGUUGGUGGGGUAAAGGCUCACCAAGGCGACGAUCCGUAGCUGGUCUGAGAGGACGACCAUCCACACUGGAACUGAGAUACGGGCCAGACUCCUACGGGAGGCAGCAGUAGGGAAUAUUGGGCAAUGGACGCAAUUCUGCCCCAGCCAUGCCGCGUGCAGGAUGAAGGCGUUAUGCGCUUUUCCUGC
rnacentral:rRNA from 1 species